rnacentral:lncRNA from 1 species
GCAGGGACCUGGACGAAAUCCGGCAGCGAUGUCCAGACUUGGUGUGUACCAAGGAAUACCAGGAGGCCGUUGAGGAAGCCCUGCAGCGGGGUCCCUGUCGCUGCCAGCCCAGUCCGCUGGUGCUGCGGGCCACCCUAACACCAGGCUCCCUGUUCUGCGGCGGAUGCGGUGGCUCACCCCCCAACCGCUGGCGGCCACGGCUCCCGUACGAGGUGCUGGCUGUGGUGGGAGGCUGCUCCGAUGACGGACAGCCACGCGCGUCCAUCGAGGUGUAUGACCCCAAAGCCGACCGAUGGAUCGUGCACACUAACAACGAUGCCUUCACACCCAGGCAAUAAACUUUGCCCGCACUUGGCCUCUACCAUCAGUGCGGUUUAUCAUGCUGUUAAUGAAACGGGGGCGCUAUAACGUAAA